GUGAGCAGUGUUAUUUCUUAUUUCUUCACAUUAUUUCUUAUGUGCUAUACAAAUAGCUGAUGGUUAAUUAGCAGUAUAACUAUAAAUAGUAAUGCUGCCAGUCUUCUUCAGACAAGA
rfam:Otolemur garnettii contig005542, whole genome shotgun sequence.